rnacentral:lncRNA from 1 species
CCUACUUCUUGACCACCGGACAGACUAUGAGCCUUAUGAAGACCAGGCUCUUAUCUUCUUCACAGCUCUAACCCAAGCACAGCCCUGUCACAGAGUGGAUGCUCAGCACAUGUUUGAUGAAGUUUUCGUGUUCCACCUGGAUUCUGAAUCUUUUGCAUAUCCUCAGAAAAGUCCAAUUCUGAGGCCACCUCGUGAAGACACUGCACUUUAUUUAACACAAUGUUUUAAAGAUUUUUUUUUAUUUCUAACAAACACAAUAACCAAUCCAAGCCAAGAAAGAUUGAAGUUUUUACUAGCUUCAGGCAUUUAUUUGUCAAAUGAGCAUUUUUCUUCUAAAAGAAGAAAUCUUUUCUUAACAAGGAAGAAACAAGUCGUUUACUUGUCGAUGAACUAACAAAAAAUGGUUUUAGUGGAGUAACGUGACAGAGCAAAGGAUCAAGGAAAAACAGAAUUCCUUUUUCAUGUGAGACAUUCAUCAGCAAAGAAAUUAUUUUGAACAGAGCUAUUAAAAAGGUAGUCUGUUUAUUUAACUCUAAAAAUUCAAAGAGGCUGGAGAAAAUACAGCAAAAUUCUUUGCAAAGAGCAUACAUUCCAUGCACUCAUUUCUUUUUAUUGCUUUUAUGUAAGCCGUAUGCCACAGUGGGAUCCUAAGUAUUCUCUUCUCUGGUUAAGCCUUUUUUAAAUAACUCUAUAUAAGUCUUUUCCUGAAACUAGUGACAUCCUUCAAAUUAAUUAUGAUUUGAAGAAUUUGUCAAUAAAUAAGAAUAGUGUCUAAUAUAUGCCUGUGUU